rnacentral:rRNA from 1 species
UACGGAGGGUGCAAGCGUUGUCCGGAUUUAUUGGGUUUAAAGGGUGCGUAGGCGGCGCGCUAAGUCAGUGGUGAAAGCCUCCCGCUCAACGGGAGAAAUGCCAUUGAUACUGGCGUGCUUGAGUACGGACGAGGUAGGCGGAAUUUAUGGUGUAGCGGUGAAAUGCAUAGAUACCAUAAAGAACACCGAUAGCGUAGGCAGCUUACUAGACCGUAACUGACGCUGAGGCACGAAAGCGUGGGGAGCGAACAGGAUUAGAUACCCGUGUA